rnacentral:rRNA from 1 species
GUAAUUAUUUAUUGAAACUUAAAUAAUUUGGCGGUAUUUUAGUUCAUUUAGAGGAAUCUGUUUAAUAAUUGAUAAUCCACGAAUAAAAUUACUUAAUUUUUUAUUUUGUAUAUCGUUGUUAAAAAAAUAUUUUUUAAUAAUAAUAAUAUUUAAAAAUUUUAAUUAAAAAUUAAAUCAGAUCAAGAUGCAGAUUAUAAUUAAGAAUAUAAUGGAUUACAAUAAAUUUAUUUAUAUGAAUAUUAAUUUGUAAAAUUUAAUUGAAGGUGGAUUUAAAUGUAAUUU